CUAAGCCCCACAAAGACAGGGAUUUGUAAAUGUUUUGCUCACUACAGUAUCACCAGACCUGAGAAGCAUGCUUGGAAGGACAAAAGCUCAACAGACAUUUGUGAAGUGAAUCUGCUAACUAGCAGCCCACAGAGACUCCGUGAGUCAGGCAAGGGAAGCGUGCCUGUUCCUAUUUCAGAGAGGAGGAAAUGGAGGCUCCAAGGGUCUAGUUCACCUGUUCAAGGGGACACACAAGAUAAUGAAAUAGCUGGUGAGA
rnacentral:lncRNA from 10 species